UACGUAGGGAGCAAGCGUUGUCCGGAAUCAUUGGGCGUAAAGGGCGCGCAGGUGGCGCAUUUUGUCAGGCGUGAAAGCCCCGGGCUUAACCUGGGAACUGCGUUUGAUACGGAUGGGCUAGAGUUCGGGAGAGGAGAGUGGAAUUCCCAGUGUAGAGGUGAAAUUCGUAGAUAUUGGGAAGAACACCGGUGGCGAAGGUGGCUCUCUGGACCGAGACUGACGCUGAGGCGCGAAAGCGUGGGGAGCAAACAGG
rnacentral:rRNA from 1 species